rnacentral:rRNA from 1 species
AACGAACGCUGGCGGCAGGCUUAACACAUGCAAGUCGAGCGCCCCGCAAGGGGAGCGGCAGACGGGUGAGUAACGCGUGGGAACGUACCCUUUGCUACGGAAUAGCUCCGGGAAACUGGAAUUAAUACCGUAUGUGCCCUACGGGGGAAAGAUUUAUCGGCAAAGGAUCGGCCCGCGUUGGAUUAGCUAGUUGGUUGGGUAAUGGCCUACCAAGGCGACGAUCCAUAGCUGGGCUGAGAGGAUGAUCAGCCACAUUGGGACUGAGACACGGCCCAAACUCCUACGGGAGGCAGCAGUGGGGAAUAUUGGACAAUGGGCGCAAGCCUGACCCAGCCAUGCCGCGUGAGUGAUGAAGGCCUUAGGGUUGUAAAGCUCUUUCACCGGAGAAGAUAAUGACGGUAUCCGGAGAAGAAGCCCCGGCUAACUUCGUGCCAGCCGCCGCAGUAAGAC